rnacentral:rRNA from 1 species
AACGAACGCUGGCGGCAUGCCUAACACAUGCAGUUCAAACGGAACCUUCGGGCUUGGUGGGCCAGGGGUGGUUACGGGGGGGGAACCUCCCCUAGGGUUCGGAAUAACUCCCCGAAGGGGUUCCUAAUACGGGAAAAGGUCUCGGACCAAAGGUUUAUCGCCUUUGGGUGGGCCCGCGUUGGAUUUGCUAGUUGGUAGGGUAAAAGCCUACCAAGGCGACGAUUCAUAGCUGGUCUGAGAGGAUGAUCAGCCACACUGGGACUGAGACACGGCCCAGACUCCUACGGGAGGCAGCAGUGGGGAAUAUUGGACAAUGGGCGAAAGCCUGAUCCAGCAAUGCCGCGUGAGUGAUGAAGGCCUUAGGGUUGUAAAGCUCUUUUACCCGGGAUGAUAAUGACAGUACCGGGAGAAUAAGCUCCGGCUAACUCCGUG